CGGGUGCACUCAGAGCAGGGGGCCUGAAGAAUGGCUCCUCUGUUUAUAACAUACCCAACAGGAAUCUGGGGUCAUUGUAAUGAGUGGCACAAAACUUCUGGCCUUCCUAUGAACAAAUUCUCUACAUGU